CCCUUAGAUGUUCUGGGCCGCACGCGCGCUACACUGAUACAUGCAACGAGUUUAUAACCUUGAUCUGACGGUCUGGGUAAUCUUCAAACUGUAUCGUGUUAGGGAUCGAUUCUUGCAAUUUUUAAUCGUAAACGAGGAAUUCCUAGUAAACGCAAGUCAUCAGCUUGCAUUGAUUACGUCCCUGCCCUUUGUACACACCGCCCGUCGACUCUACCGAUUGAAUGGUUCGGUGAAAACUUUGGACUGUGGCAUUGUCCUUCAAUGGACUUCGCCGUAGGAAAUUGUUUAAACCUCAUCAUUUAGAGGAAGAAUAAGUCGUAACA
rnacentral:rRNA from 1 species